CCCAGGAGCCGUCUGUGAUUUCUGCAGCCAGCGCCAGGCUGAGCUCUACCAGAAGGAGGUGGGGGCCCUGGCGGCCCUGGAGCAGCGCUUCUCCCGCCUCUGGAGCCAGUGCCAGCGGUGCCAGAGCGCCCUGCACCAGGACGUGCUCUGCACCAGCCGGGACUGCCCCAUAUUCUACAUGCGGCGCAAGGUGCAGAAGGACCUGGAUGCUCAGCAGGCGCUGGUGGCUCG